ensembl:snoRNA
CUUCCCAUUUAUUUGAUGCUAUAGUCCUUCGGUGAUAUGAGCAGUUAUACGCAUGGGAUAAAACAAUACUGGGCCCUUGUAAAUGAAGGUGAAGUUGCCAUUUCAUCUCUUCUCCAUGGUCUAGACAUUG